CCUACUGAGUGCAAACAAUUUUUCUGGACCAAUUCCACAAACAUUUGAAAACUCGUUGAACUUAACAGAUUUUAGGAUAGAUGGGAACAGAAUAUCAGGAAGCAUACCUGGACUUAUUGGGAAUUGGACCAAACUUGAAGGACUAUAUAUUCAGGGCACUUCCAUGGUGGGUCCUAUUCCUUCCAACAUUUCAAAUUUGAAAAACUUGACUCAAUUGAGAUUAUCUGAUUUGGUGGGACCAAGUACAACUUUCCCUGAUUUGAGAGAUUUGAAGCAUUUGGAAGUAUUGGCAUUGAGGAAUUGCUUAAUUAAUGAUAAAAUUCCAGAUUACAUUGAACAGCUGACAACAUUGAAGACAUUGUAAGCCCUUAAAAUUGGUCUAAAUAGUUAACA